rnacentral:tRNA from 1 species
CGGCCGAUCCCGAAGUGGACGAGGGACCGGGUUGUGAUCCUGGUGCAAGCGGGUUCGAGUCCCGCCGGCCG